AGUGAACGCUGGCGGUAGGCCUAACACAUGCAAGUCGAACGGCAGCACAGUAAGAGCUUGCUCUUACGGGUGGCGAGUGGCGGACGGGUGACGAAUACAUCGGAAUCUACUUUUUCGUGGGGGAUAACGUAGGGAAACUUACGCUAAUACCGCAUACGACCCACGGGUGAAAGCAGGGGAUCUUCGGACCUUGCGCGAUUGAAUGAGCCGAUGUCGGAUUAGCUAGUUGGCGGGGUAAAGGCCCACCAAGGCGACGAUCCGUAGCGGGUCUGAGAGGAUGGUCGGCCACACGGGAGCUGGGACGCGGUCCAGGCGCCUGAGGGAGGCACCAGAGGGGAAUGUUGGACAAUGGGCGGAAGUCUGAUCCAGCCAUAGCGAGUGGGAGAAAAAGACCCUGGGGUUGUAAAGCCCUUUUGUUGGGAAAGAAAAGCUGCAGGUUGAUACCCCGCUGAUCUGACGGUACCCAAAGAAUAAGCACCGGCUAACUACGUG
rnacentral:rRNA from 1 species